rnacentral:lncRNA from 1 species
GUUCCUUGUACACUCAUUUAAACAGUGUCAUGGGCCACAUACUGAAUACUUGUUGACAGUUCUCAUGGACAAACUGCACUACGGGGGGAGAGAUGGAGAAGGAAAACAGAAUUGAUAAAUCUGAGGAGUCGAAUCGAUUUGUUUUCUAGUGAGCGACCUAUGAGGAAGAGAAACAAAGCCCUUUGAACAAUUCGGCAAAGCUGUACUAUCACCCCGGUCAGACUCUGGCUGUCUUUGAUUGGCUCAAGGGCUUCAGUCUAUCUGCUCAGGAUGAGAAGUUCACCGGGGUUGGUGAGUUUGCAGAACACGUUUUCAUUUGGUACACUGUAUCCACAAAUGUAAUAUGCUAUUUAAAUGCCACAGGUAAAGGUUAGCCAGUGUAGCGAGAGCAUGCAUAAUGUUCCCCAGGGCCGGGGAAUGUUUGUGAUAUGAUAUCAGGCACUCUUCUUCAAGCCAAGCUAUCUGGUAUAGUCGGGUAUAGCAAGGC